ensembl:snRNA Gm23754 predicted gene, 23754
GUGGCACACGUACACUAAAAUUGGAAUGAUACGGAGAAGAUUAGCAUAGCCCCUGGGCAAGGA